AGUAGGAUAGCUGGGUCAAAUAGUGGUUCCAUUCCAAGGAAUUUUUUAAGGAAUUUUCAUACUGCUUUCCAAGAUUGGUUGCACCAGUUUGCAGUCCCACCAGCCAU
rnacentral:pre_miRNA from 1 species